CGUACACUCCUACGGGAGGCAGCAGUGGGGAAUAUUGCACAAUGGGCGCAAGCCUGAUGCAGCGACGCCGCGUGGGGGAUGAAGGCCUUCGGGUUGUAAACUCCUUUCGCUAGGGACGAAGCUUUUUUGUGACGGUACCUAGAUAAGAAGCACCGGCUAACUACGUGCCAGCAGCCGCGGUAAUACGUAGGGUGCGAGCGUUGUCCGGAAUUACUGGGCGUAAAGGGCUCGUAGGUGGUUUGUCGCGUCGUCUGUGAAAUUCUGGGGCUUAACUCCGGGCGUGCAGGCGAUACGGGCAUAACUUGAGUGCUGUAGGGGUAACUGGAAUUCCUGGUGUAGCGGUGAAAUGCGCAGAUAUCAGGAGGAACACCGAUGGCGAAGGCAGGUUACUGGGCAGUUACUGACGCUGAGGAGCGAAAGCAUGGGUAGCGAACAGGAUUAGAUACCCUAGUAGUCCCA
rnacentral:rRNA from 1 species